rnacentral:misc_RNA from 1 species
GAUGAAGAACGUAGCGAAAUGCGAUACGUAAUGUGAAUUGCAAAUUCAGUGAAUCAUCGAGUCUUUGAACGCACAUUGCGCCCCCUGGUAUUCCGGGGGGCAUGCCUGUCCGAGCGUCAUUGCUGCCCUCAAGCACGGCUUGUGUGUUGGGCCCCGUCCUCCGAUCCCGGGGGACGGGCCCGAAAGGCAGCGGCGGCACCGCGUCCGGUCCUCGAGCGUAUGGGGCUUUGUCACCCGCUCUGUAGGCCCGGCCGGCGCUUGCCGAUCAACCCAAAUUUUUAUCCAGGUUGACCUCGGAUCAGGUAGGGAUACCCGCUGAACUUAAGCAUAUCAAUAACGGGGA